UCGUUUGGGAAAUGAAGGUAUCUGGUGAA
rnacentral:piRNA from 1 species